rnacentral:lncRNA from 1 species
AUCUCUUAUUCAAUGUCUUAUUUUUUUAAUAUAUCAAAUGCAUCUUAAACACUCGAUUAUGUUUAGGGAUGUCAACGGGCGGGGAAUGUGCAGAGGAAGCUUCCUCGUUCCUCGCCCUGAAAUGCCUGCAGGGGAAAAAUAUGUUAACAUGUGCAGAGGAAGCUUCCCCGUUUCUCGUCCCGAAGAAAAAAAACACUGGAGUUGACAAUAAAUUCUAAUUAUUGUGGAGUAUAUGAGUAUUUAGUUAGUGCAUCAUCAUGAACAUAAUUAGAUAAGGGUCAUGUUAAGACGUGGACCAAAGGCACAUGUUAAGCUACCUAAAAGUAGAAAUAUAGCAUUUAAUGAUACAAAAUAUUUAAUAUGUAAAGAGUUGAAUUCACAAACUUAACAUUUAGUGUUUACUACAUUUAUCUUCUUAAUAUGUGUCUUUGGUGCACAUGUUAACAUUCCAAUAAAUUAUGUCAAAUAGUUUAGUCACUAAAAAUCUACCUUAGAAAUAAGUGGAAUAUCUGAGGUCCAAAUCUCAACCUUUAAAUAUAUAAUUAUGUCCCUACAAAUUAAGCUAAGUUUACCGGAACAAUAAUAAUCAUGUUUUAUUACUCAAUUUAAUGACUAAACUUUAACUUUUCAAAAAGUAAACUACAAAUAAGAUGUUUUUUUGACUAAACAAAUAAGGAUGUUGUUUAUACAUAUUUUUAAUGAUUGAAUAAUCAAUUUAUUAUGUAUAAAAAAAAUAAACUUAUUUUUAUUUUUUUGGUACAAAAUAA